AUGGAGGCACUUAGCAAAGAUGCAGAUCCAAAUGGAGUUGGAAGACUUAUUACGGAGGAGUUGCGAAGAAUUAAAAACACCGAUGCAACAUUAUCUGGGGAGCUUACGGCCUACAAUAUUGUCCCUCUUGAAGCACCAUCAUUGAC